rnacentral:rRNA from 1 species
GAGACCGGCGCACGGGUGCGUAACGCGUAUGCAAUCUACCUUUUACAGAGGGAUAGCCCAGAGAAAUUUGGAUUAAUACCUCAUAGUAUUAUAGAAUGGCAUCAUUUUAUAAUUAAAGUCACAACGGUAAAAGAUGAGCAUGCGUCCCAUUAGCUAGUUGGUAAGGUAACGGCUUACCAAGGCUACGAUGGGUAGGGGUCCUGAGAGGGAGAUCCCCCACACUGGUACUGAGACACGGACCAGACUCCUACGGGAGGCAGCAGUGAGGAAUAUUGGACAAUGGGCGCAAGCCUGAUCCAGCCAUGCCGCGUGCAGGAUGACGGUCCUAUGGAUUGUAAACUGCUUUUAUACGAGAAGAAACACUCCGACGUGUCGGAGCUUGACGGUAUCGUAAGAAUAAGGAUCGGCUAACUCCGUGCCAGCAGCCGCGGUAAUACGGAGGAUCCAAGCGUUAUCCGGAAUCAUUGGGUUUAAAGGGUCCGUAGGCGGUUUAAUAAGUCAGUGGUGAAAGCCCAUCGCUCAACGGUGGAACGGCCAUUGAUACUGUUAGACUUGAAUUAUUAGGAAGUAACUAGAAUAUGUAGUGUAGCGGUGAAAUGCUUAGAGAUUACAUGGAAUACCAAUUGCGAAGGCAGGUUACUACUAAUGGAUUGACGCUGAUGGACGAAAGCGUGGGUAGCGAACAGGAUUAGAUACCCUGGUAGUCCACGCCGUAAACGAUGGAUACUAGCUGUUGGAAGCAAUUUCAGUGGCUAAGCGAAAGUGAUAAGUAUCCCACCUGGGGAGUACGUUCGCAAGAAUGAAACUCAAAGGAAUUGACGGGGGCCCGCACAAGCGGUGGAGCAUGUGGUUUAAUUCGAUGAUACGCGAGGAACCUUACCAAGGCUUAAAUGUAGAUUGACCGGUUUGGAAACAGAUCUUUCGCAAGACAAUUUACAAGGUGCUGCAUGGUUGUCGUCAGCUCGUGCCGUGAGGUGUCAGGUUAAGUCCUAUAACGAGCGCAACCCCUGUUGUUAGUUGCCAGCGAGUCAUGUCGGGAACUCUAACAAGACUGCCAGUGCAAACUGUGAGGAAGGUGGGGAUGACGUCAAAUCAUCACGGCCCUUACGCCUUGGGCUACACACGUGCUACAAUGGCCGGUACAGAGAGCAGCCACUGGGCGACCAGGAGCGAAUCUAUAAAACCGGUCACAGUUCGGAUCGGAGUCUGCAACUCGACUCCGUGAAGCUGGAAUCGCUAGUAAUCGGAUAUCAGCC